CAAGGACCGGCCACGUGUCAAUCCCAAGCUUCCUAUUUACCAAAAGAAAAGACGGACAUGGAGAAAAACAAAAAUAAUAAAAAUAAAGAAACAAAUAAACUGACAUGCCGUCUCCUUGUCUCCCCCCUCUCUCACUGUUGUUGCCUUUGCACCUGUCUCUCUGUGUCGUCGCCUUGGCUGUUUGUAUCAUCUACCAUACUGCCUCUUCUCUCGAUCAUCAAAGACUCUGUUUUCGUCCACCAUCUCCCUCUCUGUCUGUCGUUGCCAAAAGAGAGUGUUUGUGCCCUUAUCUUGCUCUCUCGGGCUGCCUCGAGACUGUCUGUGUGUCUCCAUCUCUCGCAAACAAAAGGCUGCUAUCAAACUCCUUGAAGGGUUCAGCUGAAUGUUCAGGAUUUUAAAAGGAAAAGCAAAGUUCGGUCAGUGGGCUUCGAAUCAGUCUGAUGUUCCCUUCGAAUGAGUUUGAUGCAAAUUGCUGUGUUGAUAGAAUCUCGAGUCAAUAUUAGAAAGAAACUAUUAUCGAAGCUGUGGAUAGGUCAGAAAGGUUGCAGCAAGCUCGGGUUUCGGAAGUUGAGGCAAUGAUACCGAAGGAUCGACUAAAUUCUUUAUAAAGAAAGGGCCUGGAAUUGCUUCUUCGACAAUGACUCUGUCUAAUAUAGAAGCUGCAGCAGUAGGAGCCCGAGAGAGAAAAGCAAAGGAUAGGUCAGUUGGCUUCGAAUCAGUCUGAUGUUGCUUUGAAUCAGUUUGAUGCAAAUUAAUAGUUUUGAAGACGGUUUAUAAUAACAAAUAUUCAAAUUUCUACUAUGAGAAACAAUCGCCUGCAACGUCCGGGUGAAAUAGCUAGUUAGACAUGAUUACUAAACAGGGCAUUGUGAGAGGUUUAGUAACACAUAAUAAUAAUUUAGGAUAUGGUAUGGAAUUAACUAAAAAUUUUCCCGCGGGAAAAUUAUGCUAUGAGAAUUGAUUUUUUUUUUCGAUGUUAA